AAUCCGGGGCACCCAGCCCCCGAGUUGUAAUUUCGAGAGGCAUCUUCUGGGGGGAGCGUCGGCCCAUGUUCCUUGGAACAGGACGUCACAGAGGGUGAGAAUCCCGUGCAUGGCCGGCUGCCCCCUCCGCCGUGAAGGGCCUUCGACGAGUCGAGUUGUUUGGGAAUGCAGCUCCAAGUGGGUGGUAAAUUUCAUCUAAAGCUAAAUACCGGCGGGAGACCGAUAGCGCACAAGUAGAGUGAUCGAAAGAUGAAAAGCACUUUGAAAAUAGAGUCAAAAAGUACGUGAAAUUGUUGAAAGGGAAGCGCUUGAGACCAGACUCAGGCCCAGGCAAACACCGAUCCCCUCGGGGCCGUGCAAUUGCCUGGGCCUGGGCCAGCAUCAGUUGGCGUGGCGGGACAAAGGCACGGGCAAUGUGGCUCCCCUCGGGGAGUGUUAUUAGGCCCGCGCUCAAUGCCGCCGACGUCGACUGAGGACCGCGCCUCGGCUAGGAUGCUGGCUUAAUGGCCUUCAGCGACCCGUCUUGAAACACGGACCAAGGAGUCUAACACCUAUGCGAGUGUUUGGGCGUCAAACCCUUGCGCGCAAUGAAAGUGAGCGGAGGUGGGAACCCCUCCACGGGCGCACCAUCGACCGAUCCUGAUGUCUUCGGAUGGAUUUGAGUA
rnacentral:rRNA from 1 species